UAGAAGCAGCCAUCAUUUAAAGAGUGCGUAAUAGCUCACUAGUCGAGUGACACUGCGCCGAAAAUGUACCGGGGCUAAACAUAUUACCGAAGCUGUGGAUUGUCCUUUGGACAAUGGUAGGAGAGCGUUCUAAGGGCGUUGAAGCAUGAUCGUAAGGACAUGUGGAGCGCUUAGAAGUGAGAAUGCCGGUGUGAGUAGCGAAAGACGGGUGAGAAUCCCGUCCACCGAUUGACUAAGGUUUCCAGAGGAAGGCUCGUCCGCUCUGGGUUAGUCGGGUCCUAAGCUGAGGCCGACAGGCGUAGGCGAUGGAUAACAGGUUGAUAUUCCUGUACCACCUAUAAUCGUUUUAAUCGAUGGGGGGACGCAGUAGGAUAGGCGAAGCGUGCGAUUGGAUUGCACGUCUAAGCAGUAAGGCUGAGUAUUAGGCAAAUCCGGUACUCAUUAAGGCUGAGCUGUGAUGGGGAGAAGACAUUGUGUCUUCGAGUCGUUGAUUUCACACUGCCGAGAAAAGCCUCUAGAUAGAAAAUAGGUGCCCGUACCGCAAACCGACACAGGUAGUCAAGAUGAGAAUUCUAAGGUGAGCGAGCGAACUCUCGUUAAGGAACUCGGCAAAAUGACCCCGUAACUUCGGGAGAAGGGGUGCUCUUUAGGGUUAACGCCCAGAAGAGCCGCAGUGAAUAGGCCCAAGCGACUGUUUAUCAAAAACACAGGUCUCUGCUAAACCGUAAGGUGAUGUAUAGGGGCUGACGCCUGCCCGGUGCUGGAAGGUUAAGAGGAGUGGUUAGCUUCUGCGAAGCUACGAAUCGAAGCCCCAGUAAACGGCGGCCGUAACUAUAACGGUCCUAAGGUAGCGAAAUUCCUUGUCGGGUAAGUUCCGACCCGCACGAAAGGCGUAACGAUUUGGGCACUGUCUCAACGAGAGACUCGGUGAAAUCAUAGUACCUGUGAAGAUGCAGGUUACCCGCGACAGGACGGAAAGACCCCGUGGAGCUUUACUGUAGCCUGAUAUUGAAAUUCGGCACAGCUUGUACAGGAUAGGUAGGAGCCUUUGAAACGUGAGCGCUAGCUUACGUGGAGGCGCUGGUGGGAUACUACCCUAGCUGUGUUGGCUUUCUAACCCGCACCACUUAUCGUGGUGGGAGACAGUGUCAGGCGGGCAGUUUGACUGGGGCGGUCGCCUCCUAAAAGGUAACGGAGGCGCUCAAAGGUUCCCUCAGAAUGGUUGGAAAUCAUUCAUAGAGUGUAAAGGCAUAAGGGAGCUUGACUGCGAGACCUACAAGUCGAGCAGGGUCGAAAGACGGACUUAGUGAUCCGGUGGUUCCGCAUGGAAGGGCCAUCGCUCAACGGAUAAAAGCUACCCCGGGGAUAACAGGCUUAUCUCCCCCAAGAGUUCACAUCGACGGGGAGGUUUGGCACCUCGAUGUCGGCUCAUCGCAUCCUGGGGCUGUAGUCGG
rnacentral:rRNA from 1 species